UACGGAGGAUCCAAGCGUUAUCCGGAAUCAUUGGGUUUAAAGGGUCCGUAGGCGGUUUGGUAAGUCAGUGGUGAAAGCCCAUCGCUCAACGGUGGAACGGCCAUUGAUACUGCCAGACUUGAAUUAUUAGGAAGUAACUAGAAUAUGUAGUGUAGCGGUGAAAUGCUUAGAGAUUACAUGGAAUACCAAUUGCGAAGGCAGGUUGCUACUAAUGGAUUGACGCUGAUGGACGAAAGCGUGGGUAGCGAACAGG
rnacentral:rRNA from 1 species